UACGUAGGGGGCAAGCGUUGUCCGGAAUCAUUGGGCGUAAAGAGCGCGUAGGCGGCCCGGUAAGUCCGCUGUGAAAGUCAGGGGCUCAACCCUUGGAAGCCGGUGGAUACUGUCGGGCUAGAGUCCGGAAGAGGCGAGUGGAAUUCCUGGUGUAGCGGUGAAAUGCGCAGAUAUCAGGAGGAACACCUAUGGCGAAGGCAGCUCGCUGGGACGGUACUGACGCUGAGGCGCGAAAGCGUGGGGAGCAAAC
rnacentral:rRNA from 1 species